UGAACUCUCGAAAGAUGAAUGAAAGUGUGCAGCCGCUGUGCCAAGGGUGUUAUACUUGCCAAAAGCUAUAAUAAAACGAACAUAACGUUUGAAUAUUUAAUUAAAAACAAAAAAUGUGAGUAUACACAACGGGGAUCGAACACGGCUUAUUGUGUGAUAAGGGUACACUAAGAGUUGAAGGGCUUGCCACUAGGCUAUGGUGGAUAUUCGAUAACAGAGUAAAUGUGAACUUAUUUAUUCACAGACGAUAGAUUUAUAUGAUCUGGAUAUCAUUUUAGAUAAUCAGGAUAGCUUUCCAAAAACAAAUUCCUUUAAAGUUUACAAAAAAAAAAUGAAAAAGAAUGUGAUCUGAUGUUGAUUGAACUCGUGAACUCUCGAUAGAUUAAUCCAAGUGUGCAGCCGUUGUACCAAGGGUCUUAUACUUGCCAAAAAGCUACAAUAAAACGAACAUAACGUUUGAAUAUUUAAUUAAAAACAAAAAAAAAUGUGAGUAUACACAACGGGGAUCGAACACGGCUUAUUGUGUGAUAAGGGUACACUAAGAUUAGAAGGGCUUGCCACUAGGCUACGGUGGAUAUUCAAUAACAGAGUAAAUGUGAACUUAUUUAUUCACAGACGAUAGAUUUAUAUAAUCUGGAAAUCAUUUUAUGUAUUCAGGAUGGCUUUCCAAAAACAAAUAAGCAAAUCAGAUAACCAAGUUAUAAGAACACUAGGCCAAACCAUUACAAAAUAGUGAAAAACAUUGAACAAGUUUUUUAUUUAGGUUGUUAAUUGAAGAAACAACACAAGAGAAACAAAAGUACUUAUUCAUUUAAAAUAAAAAACUGAAAUUCAAACAUAAAAACAUAAUGUGGUCCUUAAAAACAUAAAAAGAGAAGACGAUAACAUGAAAUUACUCAUGACACAACCAACUUUCGCCAAGUUUAUCCCAAUCAGGGACUUUGACCUUCACAUCAGCAAGCAUUCCUUCCGCUUCCGAGUGCUCUUCUUUGAGUUUCUCCAACUCAGCAGUUAAAUCAAAUUUUCCAUCAGCUUUGAUAAUAUCUUCAAGCAACUCGAUUUGGACAGCAAUUGAAUUUGCUUUGCUGGAUGCAACAUUCCAAUCAUUCUCAGAUAGCCUGUAUUCGUUGGACAAACGAAGAAGAGCCCUGUAAUGUACCACAGUUUCCUUCUUCCCCUUCUUGAAACCUUCGGCGGCAUCACAUCCGUAAACCUCCUCUAUGGGACGCUUCAUCAUCUUCUUUGAACUUCCUUCCAUUGAAACUUUGUCCUGCAACAAAAUCGAAACUAAGAUGUAACGAUAAAAUAGAAAUAGAAAAAGUUCAUGAAUUGAAUGGAAAAUGAGAAAAAUCGAAAACUAACUUGUAUUGCAAAAGGAUAAAUCAGACGAAAUGAAGUGAGUGAAUAAAAGGUCUGAUAUCGUCCCUUAUAUUUAUAGAACAAAAAGGAACUCUUCGAUUAUUGAAGUCAGUUAAAAUAAACUCUUGAUUAUUGUGAAACUCUUCGAUUAUUGAAGUCAGUUACUGAAAAUAACCAAUCAUAUAACAGCCAGUCUUGACGAAAAGAAACUCUUCGGUUACUGAGUUACAUGAUGUCGUUUGGAAGAGACUUUUCGAUUCCUGAGAUAUAAAAAAAAAAAAAAAACCACCCAUUACUCGUAGGAGAGUCGAACCCGGGUCGAGCAAAUGUUUCGGUGUCAUAGGUUUCGAGGUUUAGCCGCUAGGCUGAGGAGAAUCAUCUGUUAGUUGCUUCCACAUAAUUGUAUUUAGCCAUACAAUUGAUAGUAUAAUACAUUGGAAAGAUCUUUGAUAGUUCAGGAUGGGCUUCCGAUUGCAACAAAUGUGAUUCUUGAGAUAUAUGUUUGAACAAAAAAAAAAAAACCACCCAUUACUCGUAGGAGAGUCGAACCCGGGUCGAGCAAAUUUUUCGGUGUCAUAGGUUUCGAGGUUUAGCCGCUAGGCUGAGGAGAAUCAUCUGUUAGUUGCUUCCACAUAAUUGUAUUUAGCCAUACAAUUGAUAGUAUAAUACAUUGGAAAGAUCUUUGAUAGUUCAGGAUGGGCUUCCGAUUGCAACAAAUGUGAUUCCUGAGAUAUAUGUUUGAACAAAAAAAAAAAACACCCAUUACUCGUAGGAGAGUCGAACCCGGGUCGAGCAAAUGUUUCGGUGUCAUAGGUUUCGAGGUUUAGCCGCUAGGCUGAGGAGAAUCAUCUGUUAGUUGCUUCCACAUAAUUGUAUUUAGCCAUACAAUUGAUAGUAUAAUACAUUGGAAAGAUUUUUGAUAGUUCAGGAUGGGCUUCCGAUUGCAACAAAUGUGAUUCCUGAGAUAUAUGUUUGAACAAAAAAAAAACACCCAUUACUCGUAGGAGAGUCGA
rnacentral:lncRNA from 1 species